rnacentral:rRNA from 1 species
UUACGAGGUCAGGACACUGUGAGGAUUGACAGAUUGAAAGCUCUUUCUUGAUUCAGUGGGUGGUGGUGCAUGGCCGUUCUUAGUUGGUGGAGUGAUUUGUCUGGUUAAUUCCGUUAACGAACGAGACCUUAACCUGCUAAAUAGUCACGCGAACCGGUCCGCAAGGGCUCAAAGUUCGCGGCUCGACUUCUUAGAGGGACUAUUCGCACCCGCCAGCGAAUGGAAGUUUGAGGCAAUAACAGGUCUGUGAUGCCCUUAGAUGUCCUCGGCCGCACGCGCGUUACACUGACGGAGUCAACGAGCGUUUUUCCUUGCCCGACAGGGCCGGGUAACCUCCUGAAACUCCGUCGUGAUGGGGAUAGAUCAUUGCAAUUAUUGAUCUUGAACGAGGAAUUCCUAGUAAGCGCGAGUCACCAACUCGCGCUGAUUACGUCCCUGCCCUUUGUACACACCGCCCGUCGCUCCUACCGAUUGAACGGUCCGGCGAGAACUCCGGAUGGUC